AUCAUAUAUAUUUGAAAUUUCUUUCCUUAGGCUACAUACAGUCACUUAGAUUGCUGUUUUCAGCUUUUAAUAAUCUAAUUUGUUUUUUACCAAUAGAAAUGGUCCUUUUAAUUUUUACAGAUUACUCUAUUUGAUCAGAGGAAGCAGAAGUCUCACUUUUCCCUAGGGUUUCCUAUCUUUUAGUACCUUUUGUUGUUGUCAUGAAGCUGGAGACACUGACCAGAGUUAUAUUACAUGCGGUGCAGUACACAGGACAAAAUUGCAUUUAGAUUUUUCACUGUCACCUUCAAGUCUUCAGUUAUCAACCUAUGCUGCAAUGCUUAGCUUGGAAGCACAGCAGUGAAUUUCAAUGACUUGUUUAAAAAUAGAUAUUUUCCAUGGAUUAUUUAAAAAUACUGCACUGAGCUUUUGACAAAACUUGGAGUUUGAGAUUUCAUCAUGGACAGAUUCACAACGGCAGAGUGUUUUAAGAACUUUGUAACUGAAACUAUUUUUGUUUCCUAGCAGCUCUUAUAGGUAUGCAGGGUAUGAAACAAGUACUAAAAGUGGUUUGAUGAUGAGCUGAUGUGGAUAUGUGACUGUGCCAGGAACCCUGCCCCACUAAUAGCUUGUUCCAGCAGUGGAACAAAUGGUUUUGUAGCAAGUCCUUCAGGUAGAGUGCUUCCCCAGACUGGUCUGUCCUUGCUGAUUUUGUUUCUAUCAGUUCACUGUUGCACUAGCAUGGUGGAAGACCUUGCCUUUCUGUGCUUUUUUGGAAGAGAACAUUGAACAGAGAACAGUAGUCACAAGGAUCAGUUCACAACAGCCUAGCAGCUUCCUUCGUAAUGCAAUUGUGGCAGCAUUGGAAGUAUAUUGACAAAUAGUUCUGAAGGAUACUGAAAGCGGUGAGUGCAGUCUGCAAUGCCUGGCAUGAUCAAAACAGAGAGAGAUCAGUGAUGAGAGGGAACUGUUGGCUGACUCUGUCAUAGCAUGUAGAAACUCCACAUCUCUGAAUUUUGUUGGAUUAGUACAUGCAUUUCUUACACAUCAAAUCCUACUCUCUCCAUUUCUCUCAACUGUCACUGAGGCAGGGUGUUAAGAAUGAACUUUAGAAUUUGGCCCUUGAUCAACGUGAUGGCUUGGCUGGGAUUUGAAGUCUCAUAUCUCCUUGCCAAUCCCAAAUGUGCCCAAAAUAUAUUCCAAGCAAAAAUGAUCCUACUAUUACCUCAAUCUGAAGCACAGUUCUGCCUUUUUUUUUUUUCCUACCCAUUUGAAAGUAUGCAUGUGCUUGCUUUGAGGUCUAUCCCAUAGUUUCCUGCACUAUGAACUUAAGAGCCCUUUUACUUCUAUUGUGUUUAUCCUGGUGCAUCCUGCAUGAGGUAGGAGCCUGGUGCUUAAGCAAUUCUGAAAUAAAUGGAAGUUUUACAGUACUUGCUACUUUCCACAGACAAGAAAAUUUUGCAGAAUCAGGUCCUUUGAUGCUUGUUUAUGCAUUCCUUGUGCUCUCAUACUUCAUUCUACCAGAUGGGUAGAUAAUGUCCUUAAAUUUUGGCUGAAUGGAUCAUAAAUACCCUAAAUUUGGAUCCUGGAGGAUGCCUUACCCCAGUAUCCCAGUGGAAAACUGUGCAAAGACAUGAUCACCAUAAAACUGAGGGCUGCACAGCCAGAAAGGAUGCAAAUCCCACAAUAAGACAAUCUUUCCCUGUCUAUAAAAAUUCUGUCAUAUUAAUGCAGGAUGCAUAAUUCCAAAGGGCUUGUCAGACUACCCAAGGCCAAGCAUAUGCAACGCUAAGAAUUAUAACAGACCUCGGAUAUUCUCGCUACAUUUCACAAUAGGUGUCUGAUGUGUCUGAAACCUGACAGCUGUCAGGGUCUCCUUGAUAGAACCAGCACAGAUCAUUAAUAACUCGUAUUAUGUGUACCUCUUAGUCUCGUAUUAUGUGUACCACAUUCUUUAUUGUUCUAUUCAACAACAAAAAUAAAAUAAAGAAAAACUGACUGAAUGAAUUCAAGGGAAAAAACUAAUUAUGGUAAAGUUAUCCACUAUUUUGCCCAUAUAUAUUGCAAAGUCUCACUUUUGCUGUCCUUGGCUGAAAGGGCAGUUGCUGCCUUCACUGUCUUUUUUCAGAUUUAAGGUGCAGUGACAACACUUUUUGAUCAGCUCACCAGGCAAUAACAUAAUAUCUGUUACUUCUGACUCAGCAAUGAGGGCCAUAGGCCAAGAAAUUGUUUUUUUUUUUUUCGUGAAUAAACAUUUGUCAUCUGGCAGUCUAGGAAGGGUAAAUUUCAUGGCUAUCUUUAGGUAUGUCCGUGUUAAACUGACCUCAGUUGUACAUAACUGGAUGUGUUUCUUCUGGCAAGUGCCCAUUCAUCAACAAGUUCCAGUGCUUGAAAUUUCAUAUGGAAGAAGCAAAAAAAAUCAGUUUUGUCAAAACUUGCUACUCUAAAAUUGAACAUUUAUUUCAAUUUCCGUUGAAAAUUGAAAAAUACUGCUGAUUUUUACUGAUAACUAGCCAGAAUCUUUGAGGCACUUAAUCAGAUCAUGUACCCAUGGCCAAAUUGUCAAUGAUUAUUAAGACGUGAAAGCUGACAGAGACCUCCUAUGGCGGUCUCCCCAGGACACGUGUACGUUUGCUACACUGACAGCACCCACGCUACUAGUAUACUUUUAUAAGGCCAGAGGUGAAUCUUCUUCCCACCAGUGCAUUGCAGGCUGUGUGAGCUUUAAAUAUCACCACCGUGCAUUGUGCCAGAUGCCAGAUAACCGAUACAGUCCUAAAUGAUGUGGCGGUUGGCAGUAACUAUGCUGCUCCAGGUAGUCCCUGCAGUCCCAAAGGGUCUGAGAGUGUAGUCAGCUGCCUGACUGAAAGGGGAGAUAACUGUGGAGGACAGACUAGAUGCUGUGAUGAUCAGUUCUGAAUUUUGUGUGUUUUAGGUGCACAGUGCCAUUGUCAAAGGCUCCAUAGUGUUACCUGGUCGGAAAAUACGUCUGUGUGCCCACUCACCUUCCUGUUUCUGAAAGUCAAAUGCAGGAGCCACUAGAAUUCAUUACAGUUGCCUUCUGCUCUGGAGCACUACAGACCUGGUGGCAAAAAUGAUAAGAAGGCAGCAUUGAAAAAAGAGCCUUAAUCUGUAAUGAUUUGUGCCUUUUUAUGCUAGACAUAGUCAGAGGGAAAGAGGAGGCACAUCUGAAAUUACAGAUCCAGAAUAUCUCAGUUGAGUCCUGGGUGACGAAUGUCAAUUUGUCACGAAAAAAAGAGCUUCACUGGAACAGCACUGGACCAGUAUUUGCGAUCCUGGGUCCAAACAUCCCAGACUGGGACUGUAUGCUUUAGUCCACCAAUAGCUUGUCUUCUUGAGGGUCCUUGCCAUCACCUCAUAUAUGUUUAGAGGUUCACUGGCCCUGAACUACUUUCAUUAAGAUGUCCUUGAAAUUUGCUUUUCAUUUCCCUAUGGCUUUUUUUCUUGUUUAUGGGAGGUUUUCUUGCUGAGCAUUGGUUGAUUGCGUUUGUUUAUGAUGACUCUUUACCACACAGCACCUGGUUUAGAGUUCCCUGUGUAAUUUGCUCAAUAAUCAACUUACAAAAUAGGUAUGUUUCUUCAGCAUAUUAUGUAGAUAAUGUCCAGUAAUUACUGUGUGGGUUGCUCCGACACAAAUGCAAGUAAUAGUAAUUUUGUUUUUUUUCUUUCCUACUCUGUCCCUCUUGCUCUGAGGAAACGCCUGCUAUUUUUGCAACUUGGUUUUGACUACUUUACUAUCCCUUCAUAUUGAAGUCAUGGUAAAUCAAGUAGUGAAGCAGACAUGAAAAGAGCAGUUUAGGAUGAGUGUGUCAUUGUAUCAACAAGAGUCGUAUGUGGGAAUUUCACAAGUUUGUUCGAUGCUGUAAAGAAGAAUUUCUUUUUCCUGUGGUAAAAGAUCAUUCCAAAGGAGUGCCUGUGUUCAGUGCAAGCUUUGUCUUUUAGGAGAAGAAAGGCACUGUUACUGCAUGUAUUUUUGAAGUACCACAGCAACCCUGGGCUACCUGAACAAGAAAGCUGUCAACUUUACCAGUAGUCUUGGCAAAAGAAUUGAGAAGCAGUUCUGCAAUAAUUAUCCUACCUGUUUAAUGUUACAGGCUGCAGUAUCAUGUUGCAUUUUCUUUAUUAAUGCUUCCAGAUGUCAGCUGGGCCAAGUUUUCAGGUCCUUUUCAUCUGGGAGCAGCACAAGAGUCUGGAGGGAACCCAGAAGAGAGCUGGAAACUGUUCAUCCAACAAUUUCAGAUUUAGGGUGAUGCUGUUGAAGCCCACCGCCAUGUGGACAGUGAGAUGCCUGUGUUACUAUGCGUUGCAGAGACCUGGAGAAUUUCUUUCUCGUCUGUUGAAAAGAAGAUUUUGAAUAACCAUAGCAACAGUAGAACCUGCUGUGAGUCUUACAGCAUGAAGUGUUGCAGAUGUCUGCUUCUGGGGAUCAAGGAGUCAGUCAAGGCUCUCCAGCCAGCUUGUUUCAGUCUCACCCUCACAGACUUCAUCACCUUGUACUCGCACAGAAGAAGAGGGGCUUGAAAUUCAGCACAUCCACCCCUUUCUUUUCAGGCUGUGAAGAUUUGAAGAUGUCACAAAGAAUUGACUGACGGUAAACACCAGUGAGAAGAAGGCAGUCAUGAGAAGUGAUCUAAAUUACCUGGAAAAUAAGGCCCAUUCAUGAGAGAGCUUCAGCUUGUAUCAUGAUGUAUAAAUAGAGACAUGAAGAUGUAAAACUAAAGAAAAACAAACUGAAUAAGGAAGACACUCAGCAAAUGUUCUCAUUAGUCACAUUCUAACGAAAAGUAAGUUGUCUGCUGCAGGGUGUUUAUUUUACCCUAGAAGAUAUUCAGAUAUUCCUAUUGCAAUUUCUAUGUUCCUUGAUCUGAUUACUGAGAUGAGAAGAUGAAAGUGAUGCAUUUGUCUUUAUCCAAGACUACUGCUGUACUUUUCAAGGACAACACUGGAUUUGUUAUAUAACUGGAUUUUUGACAUGCCUUUACUUAUAGGAAACACUCUUUCCAUAGCAGGAGUUUGCCUGCUUUCUCUGAUUGCAGAUAAAGCUUCAAGUCCAACUACACAUCCCACCCUGAAGCUGUGUGUACACCACUGCGGACAAACCAGGCCAGCUGGCUAAAUAAUUAAGCAUGAGCUAGUUGGUGAUGUGCACCUGGAAAUCAUUAGAUGCCUGGAGGUUACAUGUUCAUGAGUCACCUCUUAGAAUUUGGGGGUUAUGUGUUUGUUUUUUUGGGGUUUUGUUAGCAAGGUUCAAAGAAAGUGAUCUUUGAGAAGCUGAAGCAUAAUUCUUCUCUUCUGCCCAGGUACAAUUAGUUGUACUUAUUGGUAAUAGGAGUGCAGAUUAGAAGUUGACAGGGAUUGAAAAUGGAGAAAGCAACCUGGAUCAUUGUAUGUGAUCAAAUUUCUUCUGCAAAAUAACUUCUGUGGAAAUUGAAGAAAUAAUAAUACAAUUGAAUGAUGUAUCAGGGUUUCAUUCUUGUAGGUCACUCCAAAGAUGGAAAGAAAAAGUCUACAUGUUAUGGUACUUCAUACACGUCGUGGCCUCAUAACAGAGACAGAGUGAGAGCUAGUCCCUUGUUGUCAGUUUCUGAAUUUUUUUGCUCUUCCUGAUAUGCACAGCUGUAUGUUUUUCCACAGUGUAAGAUCUGGUAUGUUGCUUUGUCACAAUUUGAGGAUGGAAAAAUAUGAAACUAAUAUAGAGGUGAUCCAAUAAAGCUCUUCUGUUGGUCAGUAAA